rnacentral:rRNA from 1 species
GAUGAACGCUGACAGCAUGCUUAACACAUGCAAGUCCACUUGAACUUCGGUUUGGGUGGCGGACGGGUGAGUAACGCGUAAAGAACUUGCCUCACAGUUAGGGACAACAUUUGGAAACGAAUGCUAAUACCUGAUAUUAUGAUUUUAGGGCAUCCUAGAAUUAUGAAAGCUAUAUGCGCUGUGAGAGAGCUUUGCGUCCCAUUAGCUAGUUGGAGAGGUAACGGCUCACCAAGGCGAUGAUGGGUAGCCGGCCUGAGAGGGUGAACGGCCACAAGGGGAUUGAGACACGGCCAUUACUCAUACGGGAGGCAGCAGUGGGGAAUAUUGGACACUGGACCAAGAGUCUGAUCCAGCAAUUCUGUGUGCAAGAUGAAGUUUUUCGGAAUGUAAAGUGCUUUCAGUUGGGAAGAAAAAAAUGACGGUACCAACAGAAGAAGUGACGGCUAAAUACGUG